CAAGGCCAAUGAUGUAUUCUGAAGAAUUUGCCUACAUUGUCUGAUACAUUUUUUUGGAUUAGAUGAAUAUGACUGUUCUGAGGCCUUG